AUUGAACGCUGGCGGCAGGCCUAACACAUGCAAGUCGAACGGUAGCACAGAGAGCUUGCUCUCGGGUGACGAGUGGCGGACGGGUGAGUAACGUCUGGGAAACUGCCCGGUGGAGGGGGAUAACUACUGGAAACGGUAUCUAAUACCGCAUAACGACGCAAGACCAAAGUGGGGGACCUUCGGGCCUCACACCAUCGUAUGUGCCCGGAUGGGAUUAGCUAGUAGGUGGGGUAAUGGCUCACCUAGGCGACGAUCCCUAGCUGGUCUGAGAGGGUGACCAGCCACACUGGAACUGAGACACGGUCCAGACUCCUACGGGAGGCAGCAGUGGGGAAUAUUGCACAAUGGGCGCAAGCCUGAUGCAGCCAUGCCGCGUGUAUGAAGAAGGCCUUCGGGUUGUAAAGUACUUUCAGCGGGGAGGAAGGCGGUGAAGUUAAUAGCUUCACCGAUUGACGUUACCCGCAGAAGAAGCACCGGCUAACUCCGUGCCAGCCGCCGCAGUAACAC
rnacentral:rRNA from 1 species